UACGUAGGGGGCAAGCGUUGUUCGGAUUUAUUGGGCGUAAAGAGCUCGUAGGUGGUUCGGUAAGUCGGAUGUGAAAUCUCCAGGCUCAACCUGGAGGGGUCAUUCGAUACUGCCGUGACUAGAGUUCGGUAGGGGAGUGUGGAAUUCCUGGUGGAGCGGUGAAAUGCGCAGAUAUCAGGAGGAACACCCGUAGCGAAGGCGGCACUCUGGGCCGAUACUGACACUGAGGAGCGAAAGCGUGGGGAGCGAACAGG
rnacentral:rRNA from 1 species